GAAAAAGAAAAAGGGUGUCUGCAGUACAGCCAGUCCUCAAGAAUCUCCAAUUAAGAAUGACAGUUCAGAUCUGCCAGACAUUCCUGUAACGGACACAGAUGAAGGCAAAUGUACAGAUGAG